rnacentral:rRNA from 1 species
GUUAGGAAUAUUGGACAAUGGGCGCAAGCCUGAUCCAGCCAUGCCGCGUGAGUGAUGAAGGCCUUCGGGUUGUAAAGCUCUUUAGCCGAUGAUUAUAAUGACUGUAGUCGGAAAAUAAGCCCCGGCUAACUUCGUGCCAGCAGCCGCGGUAAUACGAAGGGGGCGAGCGUUAUUCGGAAUCACUGGGCGUAAAGCGUGCGUAGGCGGCUUUGCAAGUUGGGAGUGAAAGCCCAGGGCUCAACCCUGGAAUUGCUCUCAAAACUGCAAGGCUCGAAUUCGGGAGAGGAUAGCGGAAUUGUCAGUGUAGCAGUGAAAUGCGUAGAUAUUGACAGGAACACCAGUGGCGUAAGCGGCUAUCUGGACCGACAUUGACGCUGAGGCACGAAAGCGUGGGGAUCAAACAGGAUUAGAAACCUUUGUAGUCC